rnacentral:rRNA from 1 species
AUACGUAGGUGGCAAGCGUUAUCCGGAUUUACUGGGUGUAAAGGGCGUGUAGGCGGGUCUGCAAGUCAGAUGUGAAAUCUCCGGGCUUAACUCGGAAGUGUCAUCUGAAACUACGGAUCUUGAGUACUGGAGAGGAUAGUGGAAUUCCUAGUGUAGCGGUAAAAUGCGUAGAUAUUAGGAGGAACACCAGUGGCGAAGGCGGCUAUCUGGACAGUAACUGACACUGAGGCAUGAAAGCGUGGGUAGC